GCUGGCGGCAUGCCUAACACAUGCAAGUCGAACGGUAACGCGGAGAGCUUGCUCUCUGGCGACGAGUGGCGGACGGGUGAGUAAUACUUAGGAAUCUGCCCAGUAGUGGGGGACAACAUUCGGAAACGGAUGCUAAUACCGCAUACGCACUACGGUGGAAAGUGGGGGAUCUUCGGACCUCACGCUAUUGGAUGAGCCUAAGUCGGAUUAGCUUGUUGGUGAGGUAAUGGCUCACCAAGGCGACGAUCUGUAGCUGGUCUGAGAGGACGAUCAGCCACACUGGGACUGAGACACGGCCCAGACUCCUACGGGAGGCAGCAGUGGGGAAUAUUGGACAAUGGGCGCAAGCCUGAUCCAGCAAUGCCGCGUGUGUGAAGAAGGCCUGCGGGUCGUAAAGCACUUUCAGUAGAGAAGAAAAGCCCAGGGUUAAUACCCCUGAGUCUUGACGUAACCUACAGAAGAAGCACCGGCUAACUCCGUG
rnacentral:rRNA from 1 species